AAAUUGAAGAGUUUGAUCAUGGCUCAGAUUGAACGCUGGCGGCAGGCCUAACACAUGCAAGUCGAGCGGAAACGAGUUGUCUGAACCUUCGGGGAACGAUAACGGCGUCGAGCGGCGGACGGGUGAGUAAUGCCUAGGAAAUUGCCCUGAUGUGGGGGAUAACCAUUGGAAACGAUGGCUAAUACCGCAUGAUGCCUACGGGCCAAAGAGGGGGACCUUCGGGCCUCUCGCGUCAGGA
rnacentral:rRNA from 1 species